CCUUGACAUACUAAGAACUUUCCAGAGAUGGAUUGGUGCCUUCGGGAACUUAGAUACAGGUGCUGCAUGGCUGUCGUCAGCUCGUGUCGUGAGAUGUUGGGUUAAGUCCCGNAACGAGCGCAACCCUUUUCCUAUUUGCCAGCGGGUCAUGCCGGGAACUUUAAGGAUACUGCCAGUGACAAACUGGAGGAAGGCGGGGACGACGUCAAGUCAUCAUGGCCCUUACGGCCAGGGCUACACACGUGCUACAAUGGUCGGUACAAAGGGUUGCUACCUCGCGAGAGGAUGCUAAUCUCAAAAAGCCGAUCGUAGUCCGGAUCGCAGUCUGCAACUCGACUGCGUGAAGUCGGAAUCGCUAGUAAUCGCGGAUCAGAAUGCCGCGGUGAAUACGUUCCCGGGCCUUGUACACACCGCCCGUCACACCAUGGGAGUUUGUUGCACCAGAAGUAGGUAGUCUAACCGCAAGGAGGACGCUUACCACGGUGCGGCCGAUGACUGGGGUGAAGUCGUAACAAGGUAAGCGUAGAUGA
rnacentral:rRNA from 1 species